UGUAGCUCAGUGGUAGAGCACUUGCCUGGUACGCAUGAGGACCUGGAUUUGACCUCAGCA
rnacentral:tRNA from 1 species